rnacentral:rRNA from 1 species
UACGAAGGGGGCUAGCGUUGUUCGGAAUUACUGGGCGUAAAGCGCACGUAGGCGGAUAUUUAAGUCAGGGGUGAAAUCCCGGGGCUCAACCCCGGAACUGCCUUUGAUACUGGGUAUCUCGAGUCCGAGAGAGGUGAGUGGAAUUCCGAGUGUAGAGGUGAAAUUCGUAGAUAUUCGGAGGAACACCAGUAGCGAAGGCGGCUCACUGGCUCGGUACUGACGCUGAGGUGCGAAAGCGUGGGGAGCAAACAGG